CUUGGCAGCCAGAGGCGAAUGAAGGACGUUGUACCCUGCGAUAAGCUCCGGUUAGGUGGCAAACAACCGUUUGACCCGGAGAUUUCCGAAUGGGGAAACCC
rnacentral:rRNA from 1 species